GCAGCCCUCGGUGUUCCUGGGGGCAGAGAGCAGGGCUUACAGCAGCAGCCAGACUCUCAGCCAGGCGGCCCAGCAGGCCCCGCUUCUCCAGCACCGGGAGUGCCCCCUGAACAGUCCUCACCCAGGGCUAAAGGUGGAGGGCUGACCCCAUGACAAAGCUGACAAGCCUCCGAAGCUUCUGACUAAGCUACAGAAUUACUUACUAGUUUGGAAAGCAGUAUUUGGGAAUCUGAUCACCAGCAAAACCAGCUUUAAUCACACCGGAUCCCUGAGGAGAGAGGAGAGAGAAGGAGAAGUCAGAAGUACGACAAAAACAAGAGAUACAUCAUACACUCAGGCCUGAACUCUCCCCACCCUCCAGAGUCUCCACGACCAACACCGUCGUGAACACUGCCAUGCUUGAAACUGACUGAUGGAACAUACGUCGUCUGGUUCUUACUGCAGGGGCAAACCUCUCUGCUUGUUUCGGGGGGUUGUAGUUGUUUUAUUUUUUUACUAUGCUUUCUUUUACUCACUGGUCUCCUGAUGGUAAAGAGCAGAGAAGUUCUAAAGCAUCACCUGAGAAGAGACCCAACAUUACAAUCCUGUUGCUCUGAUCCUUGAAAAAUGCAGAUGAAGUACAUACAAACUGGCUGAAGAUAGAAACGUGUUCUCUGAAAACUGAAUCAAGAACAAGGAGACCUACUCAACCCUCUGCAGUAACUAAUUAGGGGUCUCGCCCCACUUCAAACCUUUCCUUAUUUAGGGACAUCUUUGCUACUGUGAU